rnacentral:rRNA from 1 species
UACGUAGGGGGCAAGCGUUGUCCGGAUUUAUUGGGCGUAAAGGGCGCGUAGGCGGCCACGCACGUCCGUUGUGAAAUCGCCCGGCUCGACUGGGCGGGGUCAGCGGAUACGGUGUGGCUAGAGCAAGCUAGGGGGCAAUGGAAUUCCCGGUGUAGUGGUGGAAUGCGUAGAUAUCGGGAGGAACACCAGUGGCGAAGGCGGUUGCCUGGAGCUUUGCUGACGCUGAUGCGCGAAAGCGUGGGGAGCGAUCCGG